GAGUUUGAUCCUGGCUCAGGAUGAACGCUGGCGGCGUGCCUAAUACAUGCAAGUCGAGCGAACGGACGAGAAGCUUGCUUCUCUGAUGUUAGCGGCGGACGGGUGAGUAACACGUGGAUAACCUACCUAUAAGACUGGGAUAACUUCGGGAAACCGGAGCUAAUACCGGAUAAUAUUUUGAACCGCAUGGUUCAAAAGUGAAAGACGGUCUUGCUGUCACUUAUAGAUGGAUCCGCGCUGCAUUAGCUAGUUGGUAAGGUAACGGCUUACCAAGGCAACGAUGCAUAGCCGACCUGAGAGGGUGAUCGGCCACACUGGAACUGAGACACGGUCCAGACUCCUACGGGAGGCAGCAGUAGGGAAUCUUCCGCAAUGGGCGAAAGCCUGACGGAGCAACGCCGCGUGAGUGAUGAAGGUCUUCGGAUCGUAAAACUCUGUUAUUAGGGAAGAACAUAUGUGUAAGUAACUGUGCACAUCUUGACGGUACCUAAUCAGAAAGCCACGGCUAACUACGUGCCAGCAGCCGCGGUAAUACGUAGGUGGCAAGCGUUAUCCGGAAUUAUUGGGCGUAAAGCGCGCGUAGGCGGUUUUUUAAGUCUGAUGUGAAAGCCCACGGCUCAACCGUGGAGGGUCAUUGGAAACUGGAAAACUUGAGUGCAGAAGAGGAAAGUGGAAUUCCAUGUGUAGCGGUGAAAUGCGCAGAGAUAUGGAGGAACACCAGUGGCGAAGGCGACUUUCUGGUCUGUAACUGACGCUGAUGUGCGAAAGCGUGGGGAUCAAACAGGAUUAGAUACCCUGGUAGUCCACGCCGUAAACGAUGAGUGCUAAGUGUUAGGGGGUUUCCGCCCCUUAGUGCUGCAGCUAACGCAUUAAGCACUCCGCCUGGGGAGUACGACCGCAAGGUUGAAACUCAAAGGAAUUGACGGGGACCCGCACAAGCGGUGGAGCAUGUGGUUUAAUUCGAAGCAACGCGAAGAACCUUACCAAAUCUUGACAUCCUUUGACAACUCUAGAGAUAGAGCCUUCCCCUUCGGGGGACAAAGUGACAGGUGGUGCAUGGUUGUCGUCAGCUCGUGUCGUGAGAUGUUGGGUUAAGUCCCGCAACGAGCGCAACCCUUAAGCUUAGUUGCCAUCAUUAAGUUGGGCACUCUAAGUUGACUGCCGGUGACAAACCGGAGGAAGGUGGGGAUGACGUCAAAUCAUCAUGCCCCUCAUGAUUUGGGCUACACACGUGCUACAAUGGACAAUACAAAGGGCAGCGAAACCGCGAGGUCAAGCAAAUCCCAUAGAGUUGUUCUCAGUUCGGAUUGUAGUCUGCAACUCGACUACAUGAAGCUGGAAUCGCUAGUAAUCGUAGAUCAGCAUGCUACGGUGAAUACGUUCCCGGGUCUUGUACACACCGCCCGUCACACCACGAGAGUUUGUAACACCCGAAGCCGGUGGAGUAACCUUUUAGGAGCUAGCCGUCGAAGGUGGGACAAAUGAUUGGGGUGAAGUCGUAACAAGGUAGCCGUAUCGGAAGGUGCGGCUGGAUCACC
rnacentral:rRNA from 1 species